rnacentral:rRNA from 1 species
AUACAGAAGGCCUUGCUAGGGCUGUCGCUGACCUUUUCCAGGUCGUGCACGCCCUCAGCAAUCCUCAUCCCAAUCCAUCUCACCUUUGUGCAUCACCGCGUGCGCUCCUUUUGAAAAACAAAAGGAGCUUGCGCUUUUACCACACAAACCCAUAGUACAGAAUGUCUUAUAUUUUUGUGAUCAUACAAUACAACUUUCAACAACGGAUCUCUUGGCUCUCGCAUCGAUGAAGAACGCAGCGAAAUGCGAUACGUAGUGUGAAUUGCAGAAUUCAGUGAAUCAUCGAAUCUUUGAACGCACCUUGCGCCCCUUGGCAUUCUGAGGGGCACACCCGUUUGAGUGUCAUGAAAUUCUCAACCUUUUUCCCUUUUAUUCUUCGAAUCGAGGGGGGGAAAGGCUUGGACUUUGGAGGCUUCUGCUGGCCCUCUCCCUCUUUUGAGGCCAGCUCCUCUUAAAUGAAUUAGUGGGGUUCCCUUUGCUGAUCCUCGACGUAUGAUAAAGCCAUUUCUACGUCUCUAGAGAGGCAAAGAGACCUGCUUCUAAUCGUCUCUUAGAGACAAUCUACGAACCCUUUUGACCUCAAAUCGGGUGAGACUACCCGCUGAACUUAAGCAUAU